UGUAGCAGAGGGGCCCCUUUCCCCCAUAUGAGGAACUUUAUAACAAACUUUAGAAGUCUUAGAUGCAAAUUUGUACACGCUUCACCAUUUCCGUUGCUGUUGCACAGCAUUUCAAAAAUUUGCAGAGAGUUGCCCAUUUGGGGGAAAG